rnacentral:lncRNA from 1 species
UCCAAGCUGAGGCAAAUAAUAAAGAAGAAUCAAACAGAACCCAAAGGCUCUCAAAUAGAACUUUAACUUUUAUGGUAGGAGGUCCUCAAGCCCCUUCCACUAUUCUAUUUUUUCUUAUAGAAUAACAGGUUCUUGAGCACCUAAGCUGAAGUAAGGCCACAGUGAAGAUCAAAUCCAAAGAUGAGGUGAAGACUAAACUAAAGUAGAGACAACCAAAGCCUAGGUCACCAAAGAUCAGCCUCAAA